GCCCAGCCGUAAACUUUAACUUACUUCAACAUCGCCAGGGAACUACGAGCAAAGCUUAAAACCCAAAGGACUUGACGGUACCCCAUAUCCCCCUAGAGGAGCCUGUCCUAUAAUCGAUAACCCCCGUUUAACCUCACCAUUUCUAGUUAGUCAGCCUGUAUACCUCCGUCGCCAGCUUACCACGUGAGCGCCACUUAGUGAGCUUAAUGUCCCUACGCCAACACGUCAGGUCAAGGUGCAGCAAAUGUAAUGGGAAGAGAUGGGCUACACUUUCUAGUUUAGAAAACACGAAAGACUACUUAUGAAACCUAGUCAGAAGGAGGAUUUAGCAGUAAAAAGAAACCAGAGUGUUCUUUUUAACCCGGCACUGGGGUGUGUACACACCGCCCGUCACCCUCUUCAAAGCCAAGAAAGAGUAUUUAACCAACCAUAGCAUAAUAGAAGAGGCAAGUCGUAACAUGGUAAGUAUACCGGAAGGUGUGCUUGGAAACAGAGCAUAGCUUAAUAAAAGCAUCCCGCUUACACCGAGAAGACAUCAGUGAAAACCAGAUUGCUCUGAGCCGAAAAUCUAGCCCAAUUUUUUCUAAUGGAAUCCCAUCCACCUUUAAUUUACAAAAUUAAAACAUUCUUAAAAUUCAGUAAAGGCGAUUGAAAAAUUUUAUGGAGCCAUAAAUAUAGUACCGCAAGGGAAAGAUGAAAUAGAAAUUAAACAACUUCUUAAGCACAAAAAAGUAGAGAUUACCUCUCG
rnacentral:misc_RNA from 1 species